rnacentral:lncRNA from 1 species
GGGGUAGGGGUAGGCCGAAGAAGUACUGGGGUGAGGUGAUUAGGCGGGACAUGGAACAGUUACAGCUCACCGAGGACAUGACCCUAGAUAGGAAGGUCUGGAGGACGCGAAUUACGGCAGAGGAUUAGGGCCAGUUCUGGUCCCUAGAGUAGGGAAUUACUUGGUGGGGGUUUUAUUCUUGUCAUGAUUCCGUGUCCCGUGUUCCAUGUUGUAUUACGAAUCUGUGUGCUUUUCCUGCUUUCCUCUGCUUUAUAUUACUUAUGGGUGCCGUAUUUAUGUUAUGUAAUCUGCUUCUGUGCUGCACUAUGUGUUUGUGUGGUAUCUCGUGCCUUGAGCCGGGGGUCUAUCGGAAACAGCCUUUCUACUUCAUCAGAGGUAGAGGUAUGGACUGCGUACAUCUUACCCCCCAGACCUCACUAGGUGAGAAUACACUGGGUUUGUUGUUGUUGUUGUUGUGUUUGGUUGGUGAGUAGAGAAUAUUUUUUAGAAAAAUAUUUUCUAGUGUUUGAUUGAUGAGUGAAAAAUAUUUUUUAGAAAAUACUAUUAACUGUUAACUAGUAUAUCAGUGACUCUAACAACUCAACAAUUUGUAAGAAAUAAUUUAAGCAUAGCAAAUAAUAUCAAUAUCGAAUUCUAAAAUACUACAAUCACUAAAUUUAAGCAACUAUUAAUUAGCAAAUAUAGGAGACACUUUUCAAUAUUUAGUCAGGACAAUCUCAAGAUACUACAAUCAAUGGAAAUAUAACGGAACGACAAGCUUAUUCAAUCCCGAGAAGCAAGUUACAUCGAUGACAAGAUGAAAUAUGCAAUUAGCAAAAGUAACAUAGGUAAGUCUUUCUCUAUGAAUAUGAAAAUAACAAUACAUUCAACGGACAUUGGAAAUGGAAAAAAUUCGGGAUUUACUUUUUUUUAUUUCAAGCAGUGAAAAAUUGAAGCAAAGCACAGCGAAAAAUAUUUCCAAGUAAUAUAAAUUUUUGAGAAAUGUAAAUUUUUUGAGUCAUGUGAAAAUGAGUGUUGUUGGGGUGGGGAAAAGGGAUGGGAGUGGGGUCAUAAGUCUCAUUUGUCAUUUUCUGGAAAAUGACUUCCCUUGACCCAUGAGGGAAGUCAUUUUCCAUCAAAUGGAGGAAAAUGAGUUGUUGUGGAAAAUAUUUUCUCAACAUUUCAUUACAACCAAACAAGGGAAAAUUGGAAAACAUUUUCCAUCAUACCAAACACACCCUAAUUUCUUCAGCUUUUCCUGAAGGAAUUUCACCAUUAAGGCGAUUCAUUGACAUCUCCAAAUUAAUUAGUUUCUUUAGAUUUCCAAUUUCUUCCAAACCUUUUCCUUCAAGCCCACAAUUCGUUAAGUACUACCAAUUUAUUAAGAUUCAGAAUCAUCACUUCAGGAAAUGGCGUUCGAUCAAAUUGAUUAUCACCAAGGUUAAGUACUUCCAUGACGGUGUACACUUUGUCCAUCUCUGCAUUUACAUUCAGACCUUCAACAAAUGCAACACCGGAGCUUGGCUUUGUGGGCCCAAUCAUCUGUUAGCAAAACUUAGUUACUAAGCAAAUGGAAAACAAAUAAAAACUAAUGUUGGAUAGCAUUCCAUGGAAAUUGCAUAAAUAAUGAAGAAACAAUGAAUUUGACUCAAAAGCUAGAUUUCUUAGACUUUGACAUUGAAUUACUGAUGAUGCCAGUGAAACUAGAAAUUGAUGGGUGUUAGUGAAGAAGAGGAAAUGAAAAAAAUUGUGAAGAAAAAAAAUAAGAAAAGGCAAAAGAAUAAAAAUGUGGCAUGCCACGUGGAGUCUAUCUCAGCCAAAUGUUAGCCCGUGUGGACAUCUGUUAAAUAGAAGGGUAUAUUUACAUACUUCAGUAACGUCAGGGGCAUAUUUUUGACCCUAUAGUUUAACUAAGGACAAAUUUAGCCAAUUUAUGAAAGUAGAGGGGCAUUUUUGACCCUUUUCCCUUUUUAAUUCAAUCAAUGAUGAAUAUUUUGAGAAAGUGAUUUGGAUAAGUAAAGAGUUGCCAAAUGCACCCAAGGGUGUGGCCUAGUGGUUCAAUGAAGUUGGGAUGAGCACCAUGAGGUCUCAGGUUCAAUUCCCAGCAGAGACAAACACUAGGUGUUUUCUUCCCAUCUGUUCUAGUUUUGGUGGACAGAGUUACCUGGUACCUGUUGCUGGUGGGAGGUGGCAGGUAUCUCGUGGAUUUAGUCGAGGUGCGCGCAAGCUGGUUCGAACACCACGGUUAUCAAAAAAAAAAAAAGAGUAAAGAGUUGCCAAAUUGUUUCUUCUGACUCAGCCAUAGCUUUAUAAGCUUGGUAUAUCCUAAACACUAGAAGGAUAAUUGAGAUGUUAAAGUUUGUUGCUGUGCACUACAUUCAACUUAUUUGGGAAAUGGGCAUCUUCUGUUAAGUGAGAGAUGAAAAAUUAGAUGUUCAGUAAAAAGUAUUAUGGUUUCCUUGUAUCUUAGAUGCCAUCAACUUACUUUCAAAAGUUUGCUUAUCUUUCUUUUUAUUGUUUUUAUAAUUCUCAUAAAGAGAUCUUAACAAUUUUGGUUUUUGCAUUAUGAGGAAACUGUUCUUUUUGGAAGUUGUCUACUAGGAUAAGGACAGCCCAGUACACUAAAGCUACUGCUAUGCGCGGUGUCCGGGAAAGGGCCCCACCACAAGGGUGUAUCGUAUGCAGCCUUACCUUGCAUUUCUGUUAGAGGCUGUUUCCAAGGCUUCAACCCGUGACCUUCUGGUCACAUAGCAGCAACUUUACCAGUUACUCCAAGGCUCCCCUUCAAGUUGUCUACUAGGAUCAUCGAAUAUUUUUGAAACUGUGAAGUUUAUGGUGCAGAAUAAGAUGUGGAAUUUAGGCUUGAUAGUUUUAUGGUUUGUAUUUUUAGCUAAACUGAUUAUGCUGGAAAAUAUUAUUCUUAGGUACAACAGACUUCUAGCAAAAAGUUUGUUCCUGAAAUACCUAUACCCGAGUAUGUGGUGGUGGUUACAUAUGAAAGAGAUUAUUCACGCACUUUUGCUCAGCCAACAUCUUAUAUUCAUGCUAGAGGAGGUAUGUGAAGAACAUGAGUAGUAUUUGAUUUUACUUCAAAGUUGAUAGUACCUCGUGGACCUUACUAUAUGCUGUUUAUUCUUUGUCUAAACAAAAAGAUCUUACUGAAAUUUUGUUAAAUUGACUAUAGCCCGAGCCGAGAUUGGAGAAUUUGUUGAGUGCGAUCUUGACAAUGAGGAUGAAGAUUGGCUCCAAGACAUAAACAGAGAGAGAAAGGCUCUUGCAGCUGAAAUGUAAAAAUCAUACUGUUCUCUGACAUGUAUAUUGUGUUAUGUUCAUUGUCUAUUUAAUUGGUUGGUUGCUGUCUUUUGUUUUCAUUUUAAUCUCAAUUAAUGUACUUUAAUCACUACUAUCUGUUUCUUCCUUGUUGAACAAGUGCAGUUAUUGCACUGUUUAAUUUAAUUUUAUUUACCAAUAGUAUUUAUUGGAUGAAUAGUUGCACUUCUUUGGAUGGUGAAUUUUAGUCUUGUAACUAUUCAUUCAGUCAAAAAUUUAGAUGUGUUAAUGAGCUUAGAGGUCAGGUAGUGGAGGUGAAGAGGAUCAACGAUAGGUUGAUGACUAUCAAGUUGGUCAUUCGGGGGUUUACCCUGAACGUGUGUAGUGCCUAUGCGCCGCAUGUGGGAUCGGAGGGGGAGGAGAAGAUGCGGUUCUGGGAGGCCUUGGAGGACGUGGUGAGAGGCGUGCCCAGUUCGGAGAAGAUUGUGGUAGCAGGGGAUUUCAACGGGCACAUCGGGGCGCUACCGGGAGGCUUUGGGGAUGUGCAUGGAGGUUUUGGUUUUGGGGAGAGAAAUGAAGAGGGGGCGACCCUAUUGGAGUUUGCGAGGGCGUUUGGGCUGGUGGUGGUGAACUCGGGCUUCCCGAAGAAGGACGACCACCUGAUCACUUUUCGGAGCGCGGUAGCCAGGACCCAGAUUGACUUCUUGUUGCUUAGGAAAGGGGAUAGGGCGCUGUGUAAAGAUUGUAAAGUCAUCCCGAGUGAGAACCUUUCGACCCAACAUAGGCUCUUGGUUAUGGAUUUGGGUAUGAAGAAGAAUAAAAAGAGGAGGAGUAAGGAGUGUAGACCGAGAAUUAAGUGGGGCGGUUUGACGCCAGUGAAUGCGUGGGAGAUAGGGGAGAGGUUGGCGGGAAUGGGGGUGUGGGAGUGUAGGGGGGACGUGGAUAAUAUGUGGGACAGGGCGGCAGCGUGCAUCAGGGAAAAUGCAAGGGAGGUGUUGGGUGUUUCUAGGGGCCGGGCCGGACAUCAUCGGGGGGAUUGGUGGUGGAAUGAAGAGGUGGGGAAGAAAGUGGAGACCAAGAAAGAGUCGUAUGCUAAGUUGGUGGAAAGUAAGGACGAAGAGGAGAAGCGGGUAAACAGGAAAGAGUACAAGCUAGCGAGGAAGGAGGCGAAGUCAGCGGUCACGGCAGCUAAGACGGCUGCUUUUGAGAGCUUGUAUGCAGGGUUACAGGGGAAAGGAGGGGAGAAAAAGUUGUUCCGACUCGCUAAGGCUAGGGAGAGGAAGGGUCGUGACCUCGAUCAGGUGCGGUGCAUUAAGGGGGAGGACGGUAGAGUGUUGGUGGAGGACGGCCACAUAAAGAAGAGAUGGCAGUCGUACUUUCAUAGGCUCUUGAAUGACGAGGGGGACAGAGCUAUUGUGUUAGGGGAACUGGAGCACUCAGGGGAGUGUCGGGAUUUUAGCUAUUGUAGACGUUUUAAGGUAGACGAGGUUAGACAGGCAGUCCGCAGGAUGCGAAGGGGUAGGGCGACGGGGCCGGAUGAGAUACCGGUGGAGUUUUGGAAGUUCGUUGGAGAGGCUGGUGUAAGGUGGUUGACUGCAUUGUUCAAUGAAAUUUUCAGGACGGCAAAGAUGCCCGAGGCGUGGAGGUGGAGUACCAUGAUCCCCCUCUAUAAGAAUAAGGGGGACAUUCAGUGUUGCAAUAACUAUAGGGGGAUUAAGUUACUGAGUCACUCUAUGAAGAUAUGGGAGAGAGUGGUCGAGGUGAGGCUGAGACGGAUAGUGUCUAUUUCGGAAAACCAGUUCGGAUUUAUGCCCGGCCGCUCGACGACGGAGGCAAUCCACCUGGUACGGAGGUUGGUGGAGCAGUAUAGGGAGAGGAAGAAGGAUCUGCACAUGGUGUUCAUCGACCUGGAAAAGGCGUACGACAAAGUCCCCAGGGAAGUGCUUUGGAGAUGCUUGGAGGUGAGUGGAGUACCGCAGGCAUAUAUCAGAGUAAUUAAGGAUAUGUAUGAGGGAGCGAAAACCCAGGUGAGGACGGCGGGAGGAGACUCAGAGCAUUUCACUGUCCUGACAGGAUUGCAUCAGGGAUCUACUCUUAGUCCCUUUUUGUUUGCGUUAGUAAUGGAUGUGUUGACGCGGCGUAUCCAAGGGGAGGUGCCGUGGUGUAUGCUUUUUGCAGACGAUGUAGUCCUGAUAGAUGAGACUCGAGGGGGUGUGAAUGACAAAUUAGAGUUGUGGAGGCAAACUCUGGAGUCUAAAGGGUUCAGGGUGAGCAGAACCAAGACAGAGUAUGUGGAAUGUAAGUUUAAUGACGUGAGGCGGGAGAAUGAGGUAGUAGUGAGGCUAGAAGCACAGGAGGUAGGGAAGAGGGAUAAGUUCAAGUAUCUCGGGUCCGUGAUCCAGAGUAACGGUGAGAUUGACGAGGAUGUCUCGCACCGUAUUGGGGCGGGAUGGAUGAAGUGGAAACUCGCAUCGGGGGUGCUGUGUGAUAAGAAGGUGCCGCCCAAGCUUAAAGGCAAAUUCUAUAGGGUGGUAGUCCGUCCGGCCUUGCUGUAUGGAGCGGAGUGUUGGCCAGUUAAGAACUCCCACAUCCAAAAAAUGAAGGUGGCAGAAAUGCGGAUGUUGCGCUGGCUGUGUGGGCUGACUAGAGGGGAUAGAGUUCGGAAUGAGACUAUCCGGGAGAAGGUUGGUGUGACUCCAGUGGAGUGCAAGAUGCGGGAAGCCCGAUUGAGAUGGUUCGGACACGUGAAGAGGAGGGGCAUCCGGUUCGUAGGUGUGAGAGGCUAGCGUUGGAUUGUUUUAGGUGAGGUAGGGGUAGGCCGAAGAAGUACUGGGGUGAGGUGAUUAGGCGGGACAUGGAGCAGUUACAGCUCACCGAGGACAUGACCCUAGAUAGGAAGGUCUGGAGGACGCGAAUUAGGGCAGAAGACUAGGGCCGGUUUGGGUCGCUAAUGUAGGGAAUUACUUGGUGGGGGUUUUAUUCUUGUUAUGAUUCCGUGUUCCAUGUUUUAUUACGAAUCUGUGUGCUUUCCUCUGUUUUCUAAUACUUAUGGGUGCCGUAUUUAUGUUAUGUAAUCUAGUUCUGUACUAUGAGUUUGUGUGGUAUCUCGUGACUUGAGCCGGGGGUCUAUCGGAAACAGCCUUUCUACUUCUUUAGAGGUAGAGGUAUGGACUGCGUACAUCUUACCCUCCCCAGACCCCACUAGGUGGGAAUACACUGGGUUUGUUGUUGUUGAAAAAAGAUGGGUUCCAAUUUCAAUAUGAUAGCAUGAAGGUUUACUGUUAAUUUCUAAAAUUCUCAGUUAAGGACCUGAAGAGGUGAUAUCAGAUUAAGAUAGAAAUCGUGUUAAACUCAAAGUUUGACAGUAUCAUGUAAAGAAAGGUUGAGAUCAUUGGCCUUCUUUGGCAUUUCUUACUGUCAAGUUGAAAAAUUCCCAUACUUCCGGUAUGUGUCGUAUCAGUUCAAUGAAAAGGACGACAUCUUUUGUAGGAGAUAUCUUAAAAUUACUGUUUCACGGAGAAGCAUCAGUUUGCAACUUAUGCCAAUGUAUUGAAUAUGUGCAUUCUUUAGGUAUGGGGGCAAUUUUAUUUGUGGGAAAUAUUUUCAUUUGUUCAGUUUUAAACGCAUAGCAUUAACAAGAGCUUUCUGCGUCCUGCGUGAUCUUAAUUCUAGAUGUCAUGACUUAUUUUCCUUUUUGAGAUUGAUUUGCUUCUCUGAUUGUUGUUAAUUGGUAGUUUUACUUAUUUUGUAAAAGAGAUUUGGC